rnacentral:rRNA from 1 species
UUCCGGUUGAUCCUGCCGGACCUGACUGCUAUCGGAUUGAUACUAAGCCAUGCGAGUCAUUGUAGUAAUACAAGGCAGACGGCUCAGUAACGCGUAGUCAACCUAACCUAUGGACGGGAAUAACCUCGGGAAACUGAGAAUAAUGCCCGAUAGAACACUAUGCCUGGAAUGGUUUGUGUUCCAAAUGAUUUAUCGCCGUACGAUGGGACUGCGGCCUAUCAGUUUGUUGGUGAGGUAAUGGCCCACCAAGACUAUUACAGGUACGGGCUCUGAGAGGAGUAGCCCGGAGAUGGGUACUGAGACACGGACCCAGGCCCUAUGGGGCGCAGCAGGCGAGAAAACUUUGCAAUGUGCGAAAGCACGACAAGGUUAAUCCGAGUGGUUUCUGCUAAAGGAACCUUUUGACAGUCCUAGAAACACUGUUGAGUCAAGGGGUGGUC